CCUACGGGAGGCAGCAGUAAGGAAUAUUGGUCAAUGGACGAAAGUCUGAACCAGCCAUGCCGCGUGAAGGAUGAAGGUCCUCUGGAUUGUAAACUUCUUUUAUCUGGGACGAAAAAAGGGCUUUCUAGCUCACUUGACGGUACCAGAGGAAUAAGCACCGGCUAACUCCGUGCCAGCAGCCGCGGUAAUACGGAGGGUGCAAGCGUUAUCCGGAUUUACUGGGUUUAAAGGGAGCGUAGGUGGGCAGGUAAGUCAGUGGUGAAAUCUCUGGGCUUAACCCGGAAACUGCCAUUGAUACUAUCUGUCUUGAAUAUCCUGGAGGUAAGCGGAAUAUGUCAUGUAGCGGUGAAAUGCUUAGAUAUGACAUAGAACACCCAUUGCGAAGGCAGCUCACUACGGGAUUAUUGACACUGAGGCUCGAAAGCGUGGGGAUCAAACAGGAUUAGAUACCCUGGUAGUCCACGACCGUAACGAUAGAUACUACGACACUCAGACGAUACACUAGUUGGUUGUCGUGAG
rnacentral:rRNA from 1 species